AGGAGCUACAGAGGUAAGGUAGACUGGGCCGUCAAGCAUUAAAUUGCGUAUUGACGGACAGGUUGCAUUAAAUUGCGUUGGCUGGGCCAUCAGGCAUUAAAUUGCGAACUGAUGGACAGAUUGCAUUAAAUUGCGUUGGCUGGGCCAUCAGGCAUUAAAUUGCGAACUGAUGGACAGGUUGCAUUAAAUUGCGUUGGCUGGGCCAUCAGGCAUUAAAUUGCGAACUGAUGGACAGAUUGCAUUAAAUUGCGUUGGACUGGGCCGUCAAGCAUUAAAUUGCGUAUUGGCGGACAGGUUGCAUUAAAUUGCGUUGGCUGGGUCGUUAAGCAUUAAAUUGCGUAUUAACGUCCAGUUUGUGUUAAAUUGUCUUUGGCGGGGUCAUCAAGCAUUGUAUUGUGUAUUGAUGAAUGGUGUCCUAUUCAUUAAAGAAGUGCUUUAUACUAAUCUUACAUAAUAUUACACAAUAACAAAGUGGAAUAACGAUUAUAUGAAAACAAAUAUAAAAGAAGAAAGGUGAAGUAUGUGAAACACAGAGUAAAUUGGAGUUAAUAUAUAAAUGUAAUUUAUAUUCAAAAGAGGAGGAAAAAUCACGGUGCUGGUUACGCUGGAAAGGCCAAUCGCACUAGAGGCAUUCGGCUUAUGUGUGGCAGUAUAGUGUCAAAAUGAGUCCACCAUCGUUGUAACGUAGCACACAUGCCUCCAAGGAACAAAUACCUAAUAGAGUGGAUUGAUUCAUGCUUGAAAAGAAAAUAAACUUAAAAAGGAGAGAGAUGUAGUGUAUGUGGAAACACUAGCAGUUUAUUAUCUAUCGUCUCGAGCCGAGCGUACACGGACCGCCGUGCGCAAGAGGGAAGGGAUUCCCUGCGCAAGCGCCGCGGAGUAAAGACGUGGAGCUAUGGCUAACGAGCCGAUAUUACGUCGAUAACAACUUACAUACAAGAAGACAUAAAUAACAAAUAAGUGAACACUAUAAUCAGUAUU